rnacentral:rRNA from 1 species
UACGGGGGGGAGCAAGCGUUGUUCGGAUUUACUGGGCGUAAAGGGCGCGUAGGCGGCGCAACAAGUCACUUGUGAAAUCUCCGGGCUUAACCCGGAGCGGUCAAGUGAUACUGUCGUGCUAGAGUGCGGAAGGGGCUACUGGAAUUCUUGGUGUAGCGGUGAAAUGCGUAGAUAUCGUGAGGAAGACCAGUGGCGAAGGCGGCACUCUGGGCCGGAACUUGACGCUGAGGAGCGAAAAGCGUGGGGAGCGAACG